UACGGCCACAUCACAUUGAAACACCAGUUCUCAUUCGAUCACCGAAGUUAAGCAACGUUGAACCUAGUCAAUACCUAGAUGGGUAACUGCCGGAGAAUUCCAGGUGCUGUA